ensembl:lncRNA
UAUCCACGUCACGAGCACCGGGAAGUCUCGCGCGUCUUUCAGCUAGACACAUCAGCACUGCAGUGAAUCUAGAACACUCAGCCUCUUUGUGUGUAUGUGUCUGUAUGUCUGUCUACCGGGCGUCGUUCCCACGCCGACACCGAUGACGUUUAAUUAGUGUGCACACACGCAAUUACACAGAGAGAAAGAGAUAGAGAGAAAGGAGAAAGAAAAUGGGUAACGCACGUGCUCUUACCGGAAUGAAGCAGUCUCGCGCGCCGGUUUGGGUGCAGGGAGCAGGCGGAGCUUUGGAUCCGGAGAAUCCUGGCUAUCCACAGCUGGUGCAGGUGUCCUCAGAUGUGUCCUCAGGCGUGGUGUUACGGUGUCUAGCCCCCCAGGGUCACAGUGGCCGAGUGUUUGAGCUCUACCACGUGCGCACACUCAAACUCUUGGUACAGUUUGACACAGGGCGCUCGUACGCCGACUUUCAGCUCAACACCAGCACUUCAGAUUCCGAGGAUAUCUACUGCUGCCGCUACGACCACAGCGGGUUCAGCAAGUACACCAGGCCCACUCCUCCACCAAGCCCGAACACACCCCCAGCUCCUCCUCAACUCUCGGUCAUACCUCCAGAUGGGUAUGUCCGGCCUGGUCAGGUGGUGGAGUUCCGUUGUCAGGCCCCGCCCACCCUUGCUCCUGUAUCAUUUGUCCUCCAGAAACAACAAAACAUGAUCCACUCCCAGAAUCCUCAGUUCAAGGUGGGGCCAGUGGGCGUGGCUGAUGGGGGCAUGUACAGCUGCUUCUACAUAUUUAACCUAUCAGAGGGAGUUCAAAAGUCUGUCCCCAGCGCACCUGUCUAUGUUAAUGUAGGAGUUAAGCUCCCAGCUCCGCAGUUAUCUCAGCGGGCAGAGGGGGCGCUAGUGUGCAUCGGGUCACCCUCCUACCCUGGUGCUUAUUUCUCCCUGUUCCAACAGGGUUCCUCAUCACCGAUAGCAACACAACACGCCCCCAAGAUUGAACACACCGUGCAAUUCACUGCAUCAGGGCAGCACUCGGAAGGAAGCAUGUACCAAUGUCAGUACAGUGUGCUGCUGGGUAAAAACUGGAUACAUUCUGAACUCAGCUCCCCCAUCGUACUGCAAUGUGUUACAGGAUCUCCUUCCUGCAGCUCAUCUUCUACAGAUAACCAUCCUCCACAUACAGGUAACACACACACACACACACACACACACACACACACACACAUAUUUAUCAAAGCAGCAAUAUUUUUCAAGUAUCAUGGUCUCUGUGAUGUGUUUCUCUAGUGUUUCUUUCUUAUGGUGACUUGCUAAUCUCCUUUUUGCUUUGGUGUCUCAUUUCUUUGAUAUGUGUGUGUCUCUGUCUCUCUCCUGCUGGUGUCUCUCUCUCUUUCUCUCUUGAUCUAAUGUGCCUUCUAAUCAUGGCGUCUCCCUCUUGUCUCUCUGCUUUCAUUAAACAAUAUUUUAUAAUUUAUGCAAAAUAACAUGACUUGAGACAUUCUUUACGUCGUGUCUCUCUGAUGUAUCUCUCUGGUAUAUCUUACUCAGGUCCUUCUCUCACUGCUUCUCUCUCUCUCUCAUGUCUUUCUGUUUUCCCUCUACCUUGUCGCUUUUACACCUGUCUGUUCUCUCCAUCUGUAAUAUGUCUCUUUGUCUCCUUGUCUCUCUAAUUGGCAUCUAUCCAGUCUCCUUCUGGUGUUCUCGCUCGAUGUAUUUGAUGUGUAUCUUUCAUAUAUUCUGUGCAGGUUCAAUGGACCUGCCGUUGGUGUGUGGGUCCGUCUCAGCUGCACUGCUCUUCCUGAUGGUGCUCAUAAUCCUGGCCUUUGGGAUUCGCAAAUAUGGUGUGUGUCCACACUGUCCUGCAGGGGGUGCUGUUAUCUGCUCCUAACUCCACUGGCUAACUCUAAUCUCAUCUCUUUUUCUUACAGCUAAAACAGCAGCCAAUAAAAGGAGACAAAGGUAAGAUAUCCCACAAUGCUUUGCAGUGAUGAUGUAGCCGAGCAGAUACACAGUACUGUAGUGAACCAGUGAGUAGAGCAGAGCAAGAGAUUUAGAUCACACAUGUUAACAGUAAGUGUUUAAUGGUACUCAGGGAACAGGAGCAGUUCUGGCAGCAGGUCCACUUCAGAGACCACAUCGUCGAUCUCACACUACAGAGAGUCAGCACUGGCUCCAAGGAGGAGGGAUUAACUUCAGUGUUGGAGCCCAUCUACGAAUCUCCAGUCAGCACAUUCACCCGCCCACCUGGCUACUGACACACUCGUGCGCUCUCUCUCUCUCUCUCUCUCUCUCUCUCUCUCUCUCGGCGACAGUGCAUAGUGAGAGCGCUACACACACAGACAGGUACAGCACACCUAAAUGGGCGGAGCAUGCCGAUGACAUGGCUGGGUUUUGGUUUGCAUGUAGUUACUUCAGUUUCUUUCUGACACAAAGGCAAACCGGGUCACACACACAAACGCUGAUCUCUCAGCAGUUUCUCUUCCUUUUUCUUUUUUAUUCGUCAUCAUCCUUUCAUUUAAUUACAUUCUUCACUCUUGUCCUUCUACUUUAUCUCAUUUACUCAUGGUUCUCUCUUUCUCCUCCUUCAUCUCAUUAUUUUUAUUUUAUUCCAUUUCUGUAUUCUCUCUCUCUCUCUCAGUAGCAUUUGCACGAUUUGGAUUUUGCAUUAAAGGCUCUUAUGUUUAUAAAAUGUCCUUUGAAAAUAAAUUAAUGCUUUAUUAAUGAUAUUUUAUGUAUGAAUACACAGAGAGAGAGAGAUUGCAGAAGGAAGUACAGACAUACUGUUGCUGGAGAGUUGAGCAAUAAAAGCACAUUAUAUCCUGUUAACUACAUCAUUAUCAUCAGUGGAUCAGUGCAAGCAAUGCUGCUUGUGUAACUAUGUACACUUUUAUUGAUCGCUAAAUGUUUGAGGUGUUAUGAACAUUUAUAACUCUGUAGAUGUUCAGUACAGACUGUACUCCAACAGGCUCAGUGAGAAGUGCAAAAUAACUCACUGUUCAUCCCAUUUAUAGCUGAAUGCAAAUUACACUUCUGUCUGGCUGUGUCUUUGUCUUUCCAAUACAGCUUUUUGACUUCCUCUAACCAGAGUGUGUAUUAGACACUUUAUUAGGUCUUCACUGCUCUCCUUAGUUUUUCAUCAUCAUUUUUAAAAAAAAAUUUUUAUUAUUAUUAUUUUUUUAUUUAUUUUUUUUAUCACAUUUCUGGUUAAAGCAUGUGUAAGUCAAUAAUAAAGAAAUGGUGUGGUCCAUUAUAGGGGGGAUUGGGUAGCAAAAUUAUAUUUUGGUAUUGGCAAUGAAAGUUAUUUUGUGUGUGUGUUUUAAGAACAUAUCCAACCUUUGUCUUUAAUCUCCUAUUAGUGAUCGGUGGAGUACAGGGAGGGUUAAUGUGUUAAUUCAGGAGUUCAGACCCCCUCAAGAACACCCUUUAGUCAAAAGUUCAUGGGCUGUUCCACAUCUUUAUCCGCUCAGGUGACAGUAUUUAAUGAGAAGAAAGGUGUAGAGAUGCUCCUGAGGCUAAUCUUAAUCACAUUAAUGAGCAUUAACAUUGAACAUUUUAGCCAAGUGUCUUCACAACAUCAGGAUUUUUAGUUCAUCUGGUUUAGCUUAAUUAGUCAGUUGUUGUUAAUCAGGGUUAGGUAAUCUGGUUAAAUUGAUCCUCAUUAUUUGAACUUUGGUUUUAGGUGAUCCGGUUUAGUAUUAGUUUGUAUUAUAAUAACCACUGCAAUUUAAUCUGUUCUUUAAGUAGUUAAAUUACCUACAUUGUGUAAAAACUGGUGUUAAUACUGAACACUAAAUUGAUUUUUUUAAAACCAUUUUUGUCCUAAAAUAGCCAAAUAAACAUCAUUUGUGUACAGUCAUGAUUCACCUGUUAUCACUUUAAAGGAUUUUGUUCUCCUUUGUAUGUAAAUAAAGGUCUGAAUGUGCGGGUUAAGCCUGGGAAGGGCCGCUUUCACUGCCUCACAUUUUGCUUCAAAGCUCUGAGGGAGAAACUGAGGGAGUGCUGAGUGGGUGUGUCCUGAGCAGUGAAGAUGUAACAAAGCAUCCAGUGGUCAUAUCCUAAUCGGUAAUGGUGAAACUGAGUGCUGAGUGGGCAUGUCCUGAGAGGUAAUGGUGAAACUGAGUGC